GACGAACGCUGGCGGCGUGCUUAACACAUGCAAGUCGAACGGAAAGGCCCUGCUUUUGUGGGGUGCUCGAGUGGCGAACGGGUGAGUAACACGUGAGUAACCUGCCCUUGACUUUGGGAUAACUUCAGGAAACUGGGGCUAAUACCGGAUAGGAGCUCCUGCUGCAUGGUGGUGGUUGGAAAGUUUCGGCGGUUGGGGAUGGACUCGCGGCUUAUCAGCUUGUUGGUGGGGUAGUGGCUUACCAAGGCUUUGACGGGUAGCCGGCCUGAGAGGGUGACCGGCCACAUUGGGACUGAGAUACGGCCCAGACUCCUACGGGAGGAAGCAGUGGGGAAUAUUGCAAAAUGGGCGGAAGCCUGAUGCAGCAACGCCGCGUGCGGGAUGACGGCCUUCGGGUUGUAAACCGCUUUCGCCUGUGACGAAGCGUGAGUGACGGUAAUGGGUAAAGAAGCACCGGCUAACUACGUG
rnacentral:rRNA from 1 species